GCCACAUGAUCUUGUUAAAGAGGUAACUUGACAAAUUAUUUUUAACAACAAAAAUACUUGAGUGCAUCGUGAAGUCUAACAACUCACCCUUCCAUCAUUGAGGAGAACUAUUGGUCCCCAGCAUUUCUUUGCAACACCUAACCAGCAUGAGAAGAGGUGUUUCUUGUCUCUCUGAGGCCUGUAGGACCUACUUUUGCACCAUUCAGUGUUGGCUAAUGAAAAACUGAAGUGAUAGCAGGCUGUGACGUUCCUCAGAUUCAAUGGGGUAUGAAGAGAAGGUGACCAUACCUUGUCUCUAAUUUCUGCUUUGAUGAAUAUGUUGGGGCAGGGCAUUUGCAUGUUUAUAGUUUGGAAGAAGAUACGUUUAUAAGGAGCAUCAGUAGGUGGUUUACUAAUUCAGCUGCUCACUCUGAGCAGCAUGGAACAGCUCCCUGAGUACUGACUGGAUGGAAGAAUGCUGCGCAGGACAUCCUCCAGCAGCCACCUUCCUCCCUGGCCUCUGCCUUCCAGCAUUGCUCACUCUGUCACUCAGUCAACAUCCAUGUAGGCUUCUAAGGUGCAGGAUGAAUUUGACUUAUUCUCUGCCUGAAAGCUCACAUCCCACUGGAUAAGACUGAUAAAUGCCAGAAUCUAAGUUCACAGUAAUUGCAAACUAGACUUUGUGCUGUUGGUGACAGAAGAUCUAAUAGGAGGUCAGGUUUGAGCUCAUUCUUUUGGAAGGUGAAUGAGCAUUGCAUAUGUGCCAAACGGAGUCUUCUAGCCGUGGGUAUGGCAAUGGUCCCGAGACAUGAAAGUCUAGAUUCAUGUGAGAUAGUAGCACCUGCCAAUCAGGUGGAAUGAUUGUAUUUUUACUGGUGACCUUCACAUGUACUGCAGUGGGGCUCCGGUAAUUAGUAAGUCAGUUUUAAUAUUUUAUAACUCUUCAACCAUAUAAUAUAAUUUUCUUUAUUUCACUGUUAUUUUCUUAUCUAAGGUCAGUAAUUUGCCUAUAACUAUAUAUGAAAGACAUUGAGUAAAACCUCUUCUACUGGUUAAAUUUUUCAUCUUAAUUAUCAACAAACAAGUAAGUAAAUAAAUUUAGAUCAGAUAGAGUGUCCAAAAAAUGUAGUAUAUGCAUUUUGAAUGAGUAUAUAAAGUCAGUGUUUGUUAACAUACAAUUCAUUUUAAAAUUGUAUUUAUUUAUUAUUUUUAUAUUUAUUAAAUUGGAGUGACAGAAUUUAUAGAAAUGAAUACUCUUAUUGUCAAGGCCUGUUUUCAAACUGAUGACCCUUCUGGUCCAGGCAUUGUUGAUGAUGUGAAGCAAUGGAAUUGCAAACGUCAGUAAUCAUUUCAUUUGGUAUUUGUAUCUCUUCACUUUGUUGAUUGUUGCUAUAAACUUUGUCUUUUAUGCUUCCCCAUAAGAAAAGUCUAGCGGCACUUUAGGAUGAGUUUUCUUUGUUCAAAGCUUUUUCUGGCCCACCCAUUAUUCAUAUCAGUUACACCUGAAAAGGAGUGAAAAUUAAGUGAGUUAUCAGCUGUUAGAGCAUGCAUACAUUUUUGAAGACACCCUGUAUCUAAAUAAAUACCAAUUCAGACUCUUGAACACCUGCAUGCAUAUAAACACCUGGAGAAACCAAGUGUAAGAAACUAGUUGGUUGUUAUAUAUAUUGGCAUUGCUCUAUUUAAAGUGGUUUUAAAGUAUUCUAUACCUUUUUCUUGGAAAUAGUUUUCUCAUCUCUAAUGAGAGUUUCUAUAAAAUAACUGCUUCAACUUUUAAUUUCCUUAAAUUUGUCUUAAUUUUUAAGUUCUUAAUCUCAGAUUUUUAUUUUAUUUUACUGUGCCAAGUGUUAAGUUCUGAAAUUUAAUUUCCCCUUCAUUUAAAAAAAAAUAACUUUAUUUAUAUCAUGUUAUAUGUUUUCUCAGAUUGUCUUUGCCCUAUGUCUUUUCCGUUGCAUGUUUUAUAAAGAACCCCUCCCAUUUUUUUCCAAAGAAAAAAAACUCUUCUGUUUUCUUCCUAAAUAAAUACAUAUUUGUGUAAAUACAUACAGGCAUAUUUGAGAUUUGUUAAGAUCCAGGUUGGGUAAAUAUUAACACUUUUCCAAGUGCCUCCUUUACCUGAAUAUUUUUUAGGGAGCUUAUAUGCUAAGAUACUCAUUCUUGAUGCAGAAUGAUGGGAUAGAGGCAACUGGGUAAAGAUGUGAAAAGGAUAACAUUGCAUAACCUAUGCCUAAAUGUAUUCAUUCACAGCUCUGCAAAUGACUCAAGGAAUACUGCUUUAUUUAGGAUUUCUCAGUUUGGGAUAGAAAAUUGAAAUGUGUUUUUUUUAUUUUAUUUUUUUCCAGAAACUUCACAUUUUGUAAUCUAUCUCUUGGAUGGUGAUAAUAGAUGGUAUCUUCCCCCAAAGAGCCACCUUAUAUCUGAUAGACCUGAGGGUUAUCUAGCAAUUCUUGUCAUGUUGGAUAAAAUUUAUUUCAUUAUAUGCUUAAAACAUCACCUUUAUCCCAUUACGGAUUUACAUGAUGGUUGUUGCCAUCUGGUAAACCCUAACCCUGGGUAUCACAUGGGUAAUCCUGAGGAAGACCGAGUCUCAUCACUCCCUUCCCCCACAGCUGGAUCAGAAUUCAUGUCUUAACAAGAUCCAGUAAUUCAUGUACACAUUAAAUUUCAGAACACUGUUCUGCACUUACUAUUUUUACUUCAUAACCUCCCACUUACUCUCUAAUUCAUUGUUUUUAAUCUACCAGUCUUAUGAAAGACAUAAUGACCUACUAAUAGCUAACCACACACACUGCUUCAUAGCCUUUGUCAUACAUUUUCAGCAUGUACCAUCUUGAUGGUUAGUCAGUUCAAUAAGGUCUGUCAAGAUUACACUAUGGAAAGCAGUUUUAUCUCAUUUCACCCCAGAAAGCCCUUUUAUUGGGCCUUCGCUCUCCCUACAUUCCUUGACUGGAGCAAUCAUGCUAACGGACCUAGAAAUCUUAUUGCCAUGAGAAGGGACUAGGAAUGUGUAACCUGUGAGGAAUGUCAGGGAUACAAAGAUUGUUGUUCUUAAAUGUCUAAAGGCUUUUGGACUCAAAGGAAUUUUUUUUUUUUUUCAGUGUAGGUUUAGGAAAGCAAAAGUAGCAACAAUGAAUGAGCAGACAUUAAAGAGAGAUAGAUUUUGCAUGUAUAUAAAAAAGAAUUUUUAAAAGAAUUUUAAUAUUUCAACAAUGGAAUGUAAUUCUUCCAACUACUUGUAUUUAGUAAGCUGACUAUCCUUGGACAUCAUCCACAGAAGUGCUCAAUCCAAGGCCUCAGGGAAUACUGAAGGGUUCACUGGAGAGAGAAACAAGUGGGUGGUUUCUGCACAUUCUUCUAAUAUUUAUUUUGUUGUUGCUGCUGCAAAAAAAGAGAAAGAAUGCUACUGUGCAUACUCUAUUUAUUUUUCCCCUCUUAACCAGUAAUGAUACAUAGAUUUUUUCCCCCCUCCCUUUCUUAGGAAUUAGAAUGCUAUAUGGUUGUCUCUGUAUGGGCCACAGCUUUCUAUGAGGAUAGUGAUUAGGAUGCAUACCGCUUCCAAUUUCAUAUCAGUACUUUUUCUGUGAUGUUCAGUGCUUUGUGAUCAUUUUAUUCGAAGGAGACAGUUGGGCCAAAUCUCUAGUGAAUGGUAUUUGGAAACUCCUAGAUCUCUAAGUUCUACUUAUAUGUUGUAACUAUUAGCUCAUAGUCAGAUAUAGUAUCAUCAUUUUGAUCAUCACAGACAAACAUAUUUGUAUUUUUGUGCCCAUUAAAAAUGUUACAUUUUUGCAUUGAUUCCCUUUUGCCUAGUUCUUAAAACAUAGACAUAGGGAAACCUUUUUAAGUUAAAUGUUAGGCCAUUAACCUACUGUUUUUUACCAUGGAUAUGUGUUCUAUUGGGGAAGUCAAGAAUUUAGAUACUAAUCAUUUUAGACAUAUAACGAUCCUCCAAAAUGUUUCUAUCUUUCCAUCUUAUUGCUGCCUCCCCAGUUCAAAUAUCUUCAUCUCACACCUGGAACUAUGCAGGGGCCUCCCAACUUGUUUCUCUGCUUCUGCCCACUUCAGGAUGUGCUCACCACAGUAGCUGCCUGAUCCUCUACAAACUUAAGUCUCAUAAGUAGACAUCCCAGAAUCAAUCAGGGUUUAAACCAGAAAAAAAAACUUUAGAGAUCAACCUGAUUUUAAGUUAUUAAUUUGGAAUGUGAGUAAGGAAUCAUUGGGUUCCAUCUACCGCUCUUGAUAUUAUCUGCUACAGGAAAGGACUGAGAAUACAUUCCUUUAUUGAAAAUAUCAUUGCAAAAUAGCACACACAGAUACAAAGUCGUUCUUGUGUGUGUCUUCCCUUUUUCUCUGUGUGGAGCUGGAAAGCAGUGAGC